UGGCAGUCAGAGGCGAUGAAGGACGUGCUAAUCUGCGAUAAGCGUCGGUAAGGUGAUAUGAACCGUUAUAACCGGCGAUUUCCGAAUGGGGAAACCCAGUGUGAUUCGUCACACUAUCAUUAACUGAAUCCAUAGGUUAAUGAGGCGAACCGGGGGAACUGAAACAUCUAAGUACCCCGAGGAAAAGAAAUCAACCGAGAUUCCCCCAGUAGCGGCGAGCGAACGGGGAGCAGCCCAGAGCCUGAAUCAGUGUGUGUGUUAGUGGAAGCGUCUGGAAAGGCGUGCGAUACAGGGUGACAGCCCCGUACACAAAAAUGCACAUACUGUGAGCUCGAUGAGUAGGGCGGGACACGUGGUAUCCUGUCUGAAUAUGGGGGGACCAUCCUCCAAGGCUAAAUACUCCUGACUGACCGAUAGUGAACCAGUACCGUGAGGGAAAGGCGAAAAGAACCCCGGCGAGGGGAGUGAAAAAGAACCUGAAACCGUGUACGUACAAGCAGUGGGAGCACGCUUAGGCGUGUGACUGCGUACCUUUUGUAUAAUGGGUCAGCGACUUAUAUUCUGUAGCAAGGUUAACCGAAUAGGGGAGCCGAAGGGAAACCGAGUCUUAACUGGGCGUUAAGUUGCAGGGUAUAGACCCGAAACCCGGUGAUCUAGCCAUGGGCAGGUUGAAGGUUGGGUAACACUAACUGGAGGACCGAACCGACUAAUGUUGAAAAAUUAGCGGAUGACUUGUGGCUGGGGGUGAAAGGCCAAUCAAACCGGGAGAUAGCUGGUUCUCCCCGAAAGCUAUUUAGGUAGCGCCUCGUGAAUUCAUCUCCGGGGGUAGAGCACUGUUUCGGCAAGGGGGUCAUCCCGACUUACCAACCCGAUGCAAACUGCGAAUACCGGAGAAUGUUAUCACGGGAGACACACGGCGGGUGCUAACGUCCGUCGUGAAGAGGGAAACAACCCAGACCGCCAGCUAAGGUCCCAAAGUCAUGGUUAAGUGGGAAACGAUGUGGGAAGGCCCAGACAGCCAGGAUGUUGGCUUAGAAGCAGCCAUCAUUUAAAGAAAGCGUAAUAGCUCACUGGUCGAGUCGGCCUGCGCGGAAGAUGUAACGGGGCUAAACCAUGCACCGAAGCUGCGGCAGCGACGCUUAUGCGUUGUUGGGUAGGGGAGCGUUCUGUAAGCCUGUGAAGGUGUGCUGUGAGGUAUGCUGGAGGUAUCAGAAGUGCGAAUGCUGACAUAAGUAACGAUAAAGCGGGUGAAAAGCCCGCUCGCCGGAAGACCAAGGGUUCCUGUCCAACGUUAAUCGGGGCAGGGUGAGUCGACCCCUAAGGCGAGGCCGAAAGGCGUAGUCGAUGGGAAACAGGUUAAUAUUCCUGUACUUGGUGUUACUGCGAAGGGGGGACGGAGAAGGCUAUGUUGGCCGGGCGACGGUUGUCCCGGUUUAAGCGUGUAGGCUGGUUUUCCAGGCAAAUCCGGAAAAUCAAGGCCGAGGCGUGAUGACGAGGCACUACGGUGCUGAAGCAACAAAUGCCCUGCUUCCAGGAAAAGCCUCUAAGCAUCAGGUAACAUCAAAUCGUACCCCAAACCGACACAGGUGGUCAGGUAGAGAAUACCAAGGCGCUUGAGAGAACUCGGGUGAAGGAACUAGGCAAAAUGGUGCCGUAACUUCGGGAGAAGGCACGCUGAUACGUAGGUGAAGCGACUUGCUCGUGGAGCUGAAAUCAGUCGAAGAUACCAGCUGGCUGCAACUGUUUAUUAAAAACACAGCACUGUGCAAACACGAAAGUGGACGUAUACGGUGUGACGCCUGCCCGGUGCCGGAAGGUUAAUUGAUGGGGUUAGCGCAAGCGAAGCUCUUGAUCGAAGCCCCGGUAAACGGCGGCCGUAACUAUAACGGUCCUAAGGUAGCGAAAUUCCUUGUCGGGUAAGUUCCGACCUGCACGAAUGGCGUAAUGAUGGCCAGGCUGUCUCCACCCGAGACUCAGUGAAAUUGAACUCGCUGUGAAGAUGCAGUGUACCCGCGGCAAGACGGAAAGACCCCGUGAACCUUUACUAUAGCUUGACACUGAACAUUGAGCCUUGAUGUGUAGGAUAGGUGGGAGGCUUUGAAGUGUGGACGCCAGUCUGCAUGGAGCCGACCUUGAAAUACCACCCUUUAAUGUUUGAUG
rnacentral:rRNA from 1 species